rnacentral:rRNA from 1 species
UACAGAGGUCUCAAGCGUUGUUCGGAUUCAUUGGGCGUAAAGGGUGCGUAGGCGGCGCGGUAAGUCGGGUGUGAAAUCUCGGAGCUUAACUCCGAAACUGCAUUCGAUACUGCCGUGCUUGAGGACUGGAGAGGAGACUGGAAUUUACGGUGUAGCGGUGAAAUGCGUAGAUAUCAGGAGGAACACCGGUGGCGAAGGCGGAUCUCUGGGCCAUUACUGACGCUGAGGAGCGAAAGCGUGGGGAGCGAACAGG